ensembl:lncRNA
ACACAGGGACACAUAGGGACACAUAGGGACACAUAGGGACACAUAGCGAUGCCUAUGGGGCGCACACAGCGCUGACGGGACCCAUAGUGACCCAUAGGGACCCAUAGGGACACAUAGGGACACAUAGGGACACAUAGAGAGCCAUAGGGACACAUAGGGACACAUAGGGACACAUAGAGAGCCAUAGAGACACAUAGAGAGGCAUUGGGACACAUACAGACACAUAGGGACACAUAGGGACCCACAGAGAGGCAUUGGGACCCAUAGGGACACAUUGGGACCCAUAGGGACACAUAGGGACACAUAGGGACACAUAGGGACACAUAGGGACACAUAGCGACGCCUAUGGGGCACACAGCGCUGACGGGACCCAUAGCGACCCAUAGGGACCCACAGAGAGGCAUUGGGACCCAUAGGGACACAUAGGGACCCAUAGGGACACAUAGGGACACAUAGGGACCCCUAGAGAUCCCAUAGAGAGCCAUAGGGACACAUAGGGACACAUAGCGACGCCUAUGGGGCGCACACAGCGCUGACGGGACCCAUAGUGACCCAUAGCGACACAUAGGGACCUAUAGGGACACAUAGGGACCCAUAGGGACACAUAGAGAGCCAUAGGGACACAUAGAGAGCCAUAGGGACACAUAGGGACACAUAGAGAGCCAUAGGGACACAUAGAGAGCCAUAGAGAUCCCAUAGAGAGCCAUAGGGACCCACAGCGACCCAUAGCGACCCAUAGGGACACAUAGGGACACAUAGGGACACAUAGAGAGCCAUAGAGACACAUAGAGAGGCAUUGGGACCCAUAGGGACACAUAGGGACCCACAGGGACACAUAGGGACACAUAGCGACCCAUAGCGACCCAUAGGGACCCAUAGGGACACAUAGAGAGCCAUAGAGACACAUAGAGAGGCAUUGGGACCCAUACGGACACAUAGGGACACAUAGGGACACAUAGGGACCCAUAGGGACACAUUGGGACCCAUAGGGACACAUAGGGACACAUAGGGACACAUAGAGAGCCACAGAGACACAUAGAGAGGCAUUGGGACCCAUAGGGACACAUAGGGACCCAUAGCGACGCCUAUGGGGCGCACACAGCGCUGACGGGACCCCUAGCGACCCAUAGCGACCCAUAGGGACACAUAGG